rnacentral:rRNA from 1 species
AUCUAUGGUCAUGGCACCCUGAACGUGCCCGAUCUCGUCUGAUCUUGGAAGCUAAGCAGGGUCGGGCCUGGUUAGUAUUUGGAUGGGAGACCACCUAGGAAUACCAGGUGUUGUAGACG